UUUGGGGUUUUCUUAAAAUAAAAAUUAAAAAUUUAUACCCUUCUAUUAAAAAAAAAAAUCCCCAGUUUUUUAUUACCUUUUGGAUAAUGGGUAAACAAUAAUUUUUAUAUUUUUUUUAUUUUCCCCAAAUAAAAAGAACCAAUAAUAAACUAAUUACCUAAUGGAGCAAAAUUAUUUUUUUUAAGUUUUAUUAGGGAAGAAAUGGCAACAAUUUUUAUGAAAUCCAAAUGGAAAAAAAAUAUAUAUAGGAAAGGGUAAAAACCCCGUUAAAAAGUUACAAAAUUUUUUACUUUAUUAAAAAUUGGUAUGUUUUUUUUAAAAAAUUUUGUUUUUUUUUUAAAAAUCAAAAAAAAAAUUUUCAUUUUUUUAAAAAAAAAUUUUUUUUUUUUUUUUUUUUUAACUAAAAAAAAAAAAUCCUUAAGGGUUAAAUUAGUAUUAUGAAAAAAAUCCAUUAAGGAACCCCUCUUAAUUUAAUCAACUGGUUAUCAAAAACAUAGCCUAAAGGAAUUAUUUUAGGUAAGUCCUGCUCAUGAUCUUUUAAUAGCCGCAGUACUUUGACUGUGCUAAGGUAGCAUAAUCAAUUGUCUUUUAAUUAAAGACUAGAAUAAAUGAAUUUAUGAACUAAAUUCUUUAUUUAUAUAUUUUAUUAAAAUUUAUUUAUUAGGUGAAAAUACCUAAAUUUAUUUAUUAGACGAGAAGACCCCAGGAAUUUAUUUUUUUUUUUUAUUGGGGCGAUAUCUAAACACAUUUUAUAAACUUUAGAUUUUUUUAUAAAACGAGAAUGUUAAUAAAAAUUAAAUUACCCUGGGGAUAACAGCAUAAUUUUUUAUAAAGAUUGUGACCUCGAUGUUGGAUUAGAAAAAUUUUUACUUAAAGAGUAACUUUUUAUGUUCUGUUCGAACAAUAAUUUUUUAAUUUUCUACAUGAUCUGAGUUCAGACCGGCGUAAGCCAGGUCAGUUUCUAUCUAUUUUUUGUUAUUUAGUAGUACGAAAGGACCCUAAUUAAUUUUAAUUUUAUUU
rnacentral:rRNA from 1 species